GGGGCGUGGCCUGGACGUGAACGAGAGCGGUCGCAUGCUCGUCUAGCUCCGCAAAAAUUAAGGCCCUCAUGCAGCAUUGACAACCCGAAACCACAAUAAACUGCACAUUGGGACACACCAUCACUAUGUCCCACAACAAAAGCAAACGGGCAUCCGAUAAAAACGACAAAAUGAUCUUUUUUAGUGCCAAACAAGGGCACACACGAGGAGUUACUAUACCGGAGGAGCAGCAAGAUGGCGCCGACCUGGAGAGCUCACAAUGUCCGCAAAAUGAAACCGCCAACACUAUACUUACCACGGAGAGUCUGCAGGCGAUGUUGGAUGAUAUGGCGGCAAAACUACAGGGUACGCUGCAGUGCUCGUUUACCGACCUCCGCACGGAUAUACACAAACUGGGCUCUCGCACCUCGGAUCUGGAAAACCAGAUGGAGGCACAAAUGGAGGCGCAUACCCGCCUAACCACCAAAGUGGAAGAAGCAUGGGACCGGCUGAACGAAUA